CCCAAGAAGGGAUUAGGGCUCAGCCCUACCUGUGCUUGCUUAAUUGCCUCCCCAGGUGUUGGGAGUUGAAGUUUUGUUCAGGGAAGUGAGACCAGAGCACAGGUUGCCUUUCUUGGUUAGGGGUUAAGAGUUGGGGGAAGGAGCUGUGGAAAAGACAUAGAGAAAAGCUUAAUUAGGAAUAGAUUGAGCAAGGGGUUUGACUACAUGAGCCUUACUCUGCUGCUGAACUCAUGAACUAGGUUCCAGAACUGAAACAAGAUUAUUCCUCUACAGACUCACUGGAGAAGGGGAUGCAAAAGUUUUUAAGGUGCAAAGCUCUUGAGAAUUGAGUUGGACUGAAAACCCAGCCUUAGCUUGCCAUGUUGCUGCUUGUUUUGUUGGACUACUCAUUUACCCCUGGAAAAGAGAUUUCUAGAGGCCCUGCACCACCAGAACUGAAUAGUAGAGGGCAGGGGGAAACUGAAUUCAGAAUCGUGUGAACAUAAGAUAAAGACUGAUAAAAUGGAUGAAGUAAUGAACUAUGAAGGAGGCAGUUCAUUCUUACAGAACAAAAGCCAGAAGAUCUUGCAGAUGGAUGCUUCCCACUGGAAUAUAAUUUCUUCUAGUAUCAGUCCAUUAAUAAACAAUUUGACCAAUGGGACCAGUAAAUAUGAAUAUGGCAGGAUUGUAUUUCCAAGAACUAAAAAGAGUCCAUGAUGCU